rnacentral:rRNA from 1 species
GGUUGAAGGUUGGGUAACACUAACUGGAGGACCGAACCGACUAAUGUUGAAAAAUUAGCGGAUGACCUGUGGCUGGGGGUGAAAGGCCAAUCAAACCGGGAGAUAGCUGGUUCUCCCCGAAAGCUAUUUAGGUAGCGCCUCGUGAAUUCAUCUCCGGGGGUAGAGCACUGUUUCGGCUAGGGGGCCAUCCCGGCUUACCAACCCGAUGCAAACUGCGAAUACCGGAGAAUGUUAUCACGGGAGACACACGGCGGGUGCUAACGUCCGUCGUGAAGAGGGAAACAACCCAGACCGCCAGCUAAGGUCCCAAAGUCAUGGUUAAGUGGGAAACGAUGUGGGAAGGCCCAGACAGCCAGGAUGUUGGCUUAGAAGCAGCCAUCAUUUAAAGAAAGCGUAAUAGCUCACUGGUCGAGUCGGCCUGCGCGGAAGAUGUAACGGGGCUAAACCAUGCACCGAAGCUGCGGCAGCGACGCUGAUGCGUUGUUGGGUAGGGGAGCGUUCUGUAAGCCUGCGAAGGUGGCCUGUGAGGGUUGCUGGAGGUAUCAGAAGUGCGAAUGCUGACAUAAGUAACGAUAAAGCGGGUGAAAAGCCCGCUCGCCGGAAGACCAAGGGUUCCUGUCCAACGUUAAUCGGGGCAGGGUGAGUCGACCCCUAAGGCGAGGCCGAAAGGCGUAGUCGAUGGGAAACGGGUUAAUAUUCCCGUACUUGGUGUUACUGCGAAGGGGGGACGGAGAAGGCUAUGUUGGCCGGGCGACGGUUGUCCCGGUUUAAGCGUGUAGGUGUGUGUUCCAGGUAAAUCCGGUUCACUUUAACACUGAGGCGUGACGACGAGGCACUACGGUGCUGAAGCAACAAAUGCCCUGCUUCCAGGAAAAGCCUCUAAGCAUCAGGUAACAUCAAAUCGUACCCCAAACCGACACAGGUGGUCAGGUAGAGAAUACCAAGGCGCUUGAGAGAACUCGGGUGAAGGAACUAGGCAAAAUGGUGCCGUAACUUCGGGAGAAGGCACGCUGACACGUAGGUGAAGUGAUUUACUCAUGGAGCUGAAGUCAGUCGAAGAUACCAGCUGGCUGCAACUGUUUAUUAAAAACACAGCACUGUGCAAACACGAAAGUGGACGUAUACGGUGUGACGCCUGCCCGGUGCCGGAAGGUUAAUUGAUGGGGUCAGCGCAAGCGAAGCUCCUGAUCGAAGCCCCGGUAAACGGCGGCCGUAACUAUAACGGUCCUAAGGUAGCGAAAUUCCUUGUCGGGUAAGUUCCGACCUGCACGAAUGGCGUAAUGAUGGCCAGGCUGUCUCCACCCGAGACUCAGUGAAAUUGAACUCGCUGUGAAGAUGCAGUGUACCCGCGGCAAGACGGAAAGACCCCGUGAACCUUUACUAUAGCUUGACACUGAACAUUGAGCCUUGAUGUGUAGGAUAGGUGGG